rnacentral:ncRNA from 1 species
CCGGUUCCGGUUCACGCCCCGUGACCAGCGGUGGCGACCCGGAGCC